rnacentral:rRNA from 1 species
UUGAAAGGGAAACGAUUGAAGUCAGUCGUACUUGCGGGCAAUCAGCCUUUUGGGUGUGAUUAUGUGGGGCGUGAGGAGUUAAUCACCCUCAUCUUUGCAUAUUCGUGCACUUUGGGUGUACUUGCUCGUCUGGUAGGUUAACAUCAAUUUUGGUCAUCAUAAAAUGAUUGGAGGAAUGUAGCUUCGAUCUCGUAUUGAAGUGUUAUAGCCUUUGGUAGAUGUGAUGAUCGAGAUUGAGGAUUGCAACGGAUACCCUUCUGGGCUUACCCGUCUGGUCUCUGAAAGUUGCUCUGGUGCUGAAAGCUUGCUUAUGGUAUCAAAGUUUUGACGUUCAAUAGGUUAGAACGGGAUAAAUUCGUUAAGGAUGUUGACGUA